AACACUUUAGUUUAUCAAAACAUCAUAUUUUCGUUAUGAAAAUAAAUUUAUAAUUUUCGUGUUA
rnacentral:tRNA from 1 species